rnacentral:rRNA from 1 species
GACGAACGCUGGCGGCGUGCUUAACACAUGCAAGUCGAACGGAAAGGCCCUGCUUUUGUGGGGUGCUCGAGUGGCGAACGCGUGAGUAACACGUGAGUAACCUGCCCUUGACUGUGGGAUAACUCCUGGAAACUGGGGCGCAUACCGGAUAUGAGCUCCUGCUGCAUGGUGUGGGUUGGUGAGAUUCGGCGGUUCGGGAUGGACUCGCGGGUUAUCAGCUUCUUGGUGUGGUAGUGGCAUACCAAGGCUUUGACGGGUAGCCGGCCUGAGAGGGUGACCGGCGACAAUGGGACUGCGAUACGGACCAGAAUCCUAUGGGAGGCAGCAGUGGGGAAUAUUGCACAAUGGGCGGAAGCCUGAUGCAGCAACCCCGCGUGCGGGAUGACGGCCUUCGGGUUGUAAACCGCUUUGUACGGUGAUGAAGCGUGAGUGACGGUAAUGGGUAAAGAAGCACCGGCUAACUACGUG